rnacentral:rRNA from 1 species
CCUACGGGAGGCUGCAGUGGGGAAUAUUGCACAAUGGGCGCAAGCCUGAUGCAGCCAUGCCGCGUGUGUGAAGAAGGCCUUCGGGUUGUAAAGCACUUUCAGCGGGGAGGAAGGCGGUGAGGUUAAUAACCUCACCGAUUGACGUUACCCGCAGAAGAAGCACCGGCUAACUCCGUGCCAGCAGCCGCGGUAAUACGGAGGGUGCAAGCGUUAAUCGGAAUUACUGGGCGUAAAGCGCACGCAGGCGGUCUGUCAAGUCGGAUGUGAAAUCCCCGGGCUCAACCUGGGAACUGCAUUCGAAACUGGCAGGCUAGAGUCUUGUAGAGGGGGGUAGAAUUCCAGGUGUAGCGGUGAAAUGCGUAGAGAUCUGGAGGAAUACCGGUGGCGAAGGCGGCCCCCUGGACAAAGACUGACGCUCAGGUGCGAAAGCGUGGGGAGCAAACAGGAUUAGAUACCCGGGUAGUC